UGCAUGGUAAUGCUCAUAGUUUUUUUUUUCCGUUUUAAUUCCUCUGGAUUAAUAAGCUGGUUUCUGCAUAGGAGCUUGGGUACUUGUCGAUAAUAAGGGUCACCUUCAAGCUCGAUAUGUUCCACCAUUUUAUAAUCGUUUUGCAACAGAAUUACAAUGUCUCUUACGGUAAUUGGUUACUGAUGUUGAGUCCUCGUACCCAUUUUUCCGUCUUAAACGUGUUUAUUGGCGAGAAAAUCAAUCUUCUAUCUCUAUCACUCCAAAGAGGUAAAGUGAGAUUCCGAAGAAUAGACGAUGGCGGAGUCUACCACG